AGGCGGUUACCGUGGCGGUGUAGGUGGAAGCAGCGGUGGAGGAGGAGGUAGCCAACACUGUUUUAUAUAUAUAUAUAUAUAUUUUUUUUUUAUUGGGGUAGCCCCCAAAAUAUUGGGACAUAUAAAAAAAGAAAACUCUGUUCCGCAGAGUAGCUGUUGACAUUAUAGUUGCGCAGGCACUUUGUUGAUUUUAGAGAACCUUGGGCCAAUCGCACAUCCCCGUGGCAGUGACUUUGCAUGCGGAUAUCAACUUUCGAUGCCAGUUUCUGCGCCUACCAUGGUGACCAUGGUGAAUCAGGGUUACAUUCCAUACAGGGACCCUGAGAAAUGGCUACCAUAUGCAAGGAAGGCAGCAGGCAUGCAAAUGACCCACUCCCGACGCAGGAAAAUAGUGAUGACAAAUAACAAUACAGGACUCUUUAGAGGCCCUGUAAUUGUAAUGAGUCCACUUGAAAUCCUUUAACUCUGAUCAAUUGGAAGGAAGUCUGGUGCAGAGCCACUGACCCGUGCGUGCUGCAGCUGAAACUUCACUAUCGCCU
rnacentral:rRNA from 1 species